GGGAAAACGCAGAGUCCAACAAUGGGAUAAAAAUGUGCCUCAAGAGUGGGUAAAUUGAACUCCCCCAAGCCACUGAAGAUUGCUAAGGGUCUUCAUUUUGGCAAUAUAGAUCCAAAUAUUGUGAUAACAGAGGUUACCAAAGGACUUUGUCUCCAUUAUAUAGAGUUAACAGAGAUAUGGCAUGAACAUGUAUUAGAAAAAUGAUUCACACACAAUAGAAAAAAUAAUUAAGACCAGGAUUGGGUGGCUUUGGAGAAUGUAAUUUCAGCUUGAAUAUGAAGAUGCUUGUAGAACAGUGUUCCUUCCUCUGAACAUGGCUACAGAAGAACAAAUCAGUUAGUCUGAAGAUGAAAACAAGAAGCUGCUGGUAGACACAUUCUGAACUGGCUAACACAACACUCUGAAACUGGAGGAUAUCAACUGAUAAGAUAUGAAGUUCUCCCUCAGUUUCAAAUACACUGGGUUCAUAAAUUAUUGACAUAAACAAUAGAUGUCCCAUCAAGCUACCAUGAAGAUAGCUAGGUCUGCACAACUCCUCAAGUGUCGACCCCUCCAAGCACAUCCUCCACCUGGAAUUGUGAACUGAAUGGAUAAAUGUGUUGGUCAGAAAG
rnacentral:lncRNA from 1 species